GGCUCAGUUUGGCUCAGUCAGUAGAAUGUGAGACUCUUAAUCUCAGGGUUGUGGGUUCGAGCCCCAUGUUGGGGCA